rnacentral:tRNA from 1 species
GUUUUAGUAGUUUAACAAAAACCUUGGUCUUGUAAAUCAAAAAUAAGGUCGCUAAAACCUUCUAAAACU